CACGCACGUUCGAACCAAUCAUAUUAUCCUCUCUGGCGUCCAUGGGCGUGGCUAACCGCGUCUGUCUGUUGAAGGUAGCAGGUUGUACAUGGCGAGCGGGUUACUCACUGAGGGCUGGUGAUUGGUGUAAUGGAAGCCAUCUCUGAACCGCAUUUAAUGACGGAGAACUACAGAAGUGGAGAGAAAACGCAGCACUGAGCAACUUGUAGACUUCACACCCGACUGUAGAAUCCCUUCUAUUGUGUGCUGGAAGAUCGCUGGACUUGAAGCAACUCCAAAUGGUGGCCUGUUGGGAAUGAGAAACUCUGACACAACAGUACAUCCUGACCAUUGGUACUGUGUACACAUCAACAUACACACACGUCUCCAUGCUGGACAUCUCAGGAGCUUUUACACACAGUGCUAGGAAUAUCACGGGACAGAGAAACGCACCUCCAAAGUGUAUCAGUAUGAAGCAGGCGGUGACGGCGCACUGAUUCACUCUCGGAGCUCGGUUCACUAAUGACCGAAUCACCGUGGAACCGACUAAAGAUAACUCACACCUUACGGAGAAGAAGAACAAGAGGAGGAGAAGAUGAGCUGGAGUGGGGCAAAGAGAACUGCAUUCAGAUCAAAUGGAUACGAGAGAGGUGGCCGAGUUGUUUGAGGAUCUGAAGAAUCGAGUGUCACAAUUCAACAUGCACAUCAGCGAAACUUCCUCUCCCUCUGACUACACCAGCGCGCACACAGAAAUUCAUAGUGCAGGUGGCGAUUGCAGGCGCAUUUUAUCCGAACUGCUUCCUCCAGGGAACAGUGGACGAGGAGCUCGCCUCCAAGGAACUCUAUGGAAACGACCCCAGGACCACCAUAGUGGUGUGUAAUCUCCCUCCAUUUGCAUUCCUCUACCAUAAACAGCUCCAGUCUCUCUUCAGACACUGGUCAAGUCAAAUCCAUCUCCUUUGACAGCUCCAGGGCCUAUGUAGAGUUCUACCGCUCGUCAAUGAGAGGUUCUGGCGUUCUCCCAGAGGUCUCUCUGUCUCUCCUCCUCGCGCAGAAGAGACUUCCUCUCCAUCUCAACGUUUAACCCGCUGGAGAGGUGGAGACUUGGGCAGGGGGGUAGUGUAUCUCACACCUCAGAUAUACACGGUACACACACACACACGCACACUGCAGCGAGCAUCAUCAGAUGAGUCAUAGUUACAUUUUAAGUGAGAGUAGUCAUGUGACCACAUCCCCUAGACAGUGUGAUGUUUAGAUGAUGUUCUGUACAUUAGUGCUGUUCUGUUACAGGUCUCUCUCUCUGUGUCUCUCUCACUCACUGUGUGUGUGUGUCUCAGGGUGAAUGUGGAUUUUCAGAAUCAGUCAGUGAGCCCUGUCGGGGUUCUGAGCAGCUCCAUUGAGCUGGAGAACCUUCCGUCUAACCCUGUCUUCAUCGUCAAUAUCACCGAGGUGUCUGUUCCGCCUCUUUCACUUUCAGUGCACAAAUAAAAAAAAAGCAGUGGCUCCUGUGUGUGUGUGUGUGUGUGUGUGUGUGUGGAGAAAGUCUGGAGUCUGGAGAAACAGAGGUGGCUGACAGUGGCCGUUAAUACACGGGCGCUCUGCCCACUUCCUGUCUCACUUUAUCCAAAUCUUCUGUGUCUCGCCCCUUUCUCUGAAACUCACACCAAACCUGGGAACUACUACAGAGCCAAAAUACUGCAUGUCAUGGGGAGUAAUGUGGAGGUGUUCUUUGUGGACUUUGGAAACACUUCCAAGGUGCCAUGUAACUCUCUGGAACUUCCUGCUGACCGGCAAGCUCUGUAUUUCAGGCUCAGGAGUUCAGCGUGGCGUGUUUGGCAUCAUCAGCACAAUCAAGAAGUCAGUGUUACAGAGUAAAAGUCUUUUAAUUCAUUCAGUACAGCAAUAUCAAGAAACACAAACAAACAUCACAAGCUCUUCACACAACUUGGUGACGUCUUCCACGUCCUUCAUCUGAAAAGACACAGACGAAAUAGAAAUCACACACUGCAAGGACACAGCCAGGUUCUGUUUUACACACACCUGAGAGGAGAUAAACCAGCUGAACUUUCUAAUCUUACAUUAAACAUCCAACAAGCAGCUUUCGGGUCACAGUGACUACGUUUACAUGGACAGCAGUAAUCUAAUUAUUGACCUUACUCUGAGUAAGAUCAUAAUGUGAUUAAGGUGUUUACAUGCGUCGCUUUUAGAAUACUCCUGUCAUGUUCCCGUUUUACAUGUUUUAGAACAUAAUUAGAUUAACAGCCCGCAUCAUUACGUCACCGCGCCACGCCAUCCGACGUCCCUCCAGAAUUUGACGUAUCGACAUACAGUUCGUCUUCGUUAUGGAACCGUAUACAGUUUUACAUGUUUUUAUUUAAUUUUUAAUUUUUUUACGAACGCUUUAAGUGCAGUUAAUUAUUUGUCAUGCUGUACCUGCUAAUACACAACUGCUUGAAGCCGUGGGCUGCGUCCCAAAUCGCAUAUUUACUGUCUAUAUAGUAGCCGAGAUACAUGUAUUUUUCCCCACUACAGGCCUGUAGUAGGAAAGUAUGUGAUUUGGGACACAGCCGAGCUCUCUUGUUUGCCGUAAAACUGCCGUGUGUGAUCGUGUCCUGUCGCAAAAUGCGGUGAAAACUCUCACACAACGUUCAUAGUGUGAUUAAGGUGUUUACAUGUCACUACUACACGUCCAUAAUGCGACUAAAACAGGAAUACUCCACCUGUCUUAAUUAGAUUAUUGCUUACUUCGAUUAUGACCUUAAUUAGAUUAAGGUAAAAAAUUGCUGUUUACAUGGUAGUUUCUUAAUUAGAGUAUGGUCUUAAUCGGAUCAAGAGUGGAUUAUUGUUGUCCAUGUAAACGCAGCUAGUGAGAGAUUAAUGACAAGUUCCUGUAACACUUCUUCUGCUUUAAACUCGAACCUGAGGGUUAUGACGCCAUCUCGAACUAAACCAACUUCUAUCUACAAAGCUACAGUGCAGAAGAGUUACUCUGACCGGGGCAGGGGCUGGUAAGGUGUGAAAGCAGCUUGAAGUAUUUCAGUGUAGUACAUUCUGCUCAAAAGUCACUUUGACUCCCUCCGCUCUAAUCUUGGCCAGCUGCUGGAUCUGCUGGAGCAUUCAGCGCAGCUAAGCGUGCUUGAGUUAGUUGUCUUACUGUUUGUGCUGCGCUGCACGUUAAACACAGUCAGUCAAACAGGUGCGUAAUGAACGCGCACAGAGAGACAGAGAAUAAGAGUGAAUAAGUUCAGACGUUACCCGAACAAAACAGUGGCGUUAUUGAGGAGUUGCUUGAUCGGGUCCUGCGCAGGUGGUUCUUGCGGAGGCGGUCCUUGCACACGGGAUCUGGAUCUGGAUCGACGUCCGGACAUGGUCCAGUUAAUUUUUUUUUCCACAAAACUAUAAGUGAACACAAAAGUUUAUCUAUGAAUAUAUAUACACUAAAAUAACAACAAUAAAUACAAACUUGUCCCAAUUUGUGAAGGUCAAACAUGAGCACGCACCACACAGCGCUGACUGCCUCGUGCAGUGACGGUUAGCGCUUUUUCUUGUUAACAAAAACGUGUCGAUUAAAAAUUUAUUUUUUUAUUUUUAUUUAUUUUUUUUUGCAUAAAGAAGAGUUAAGCUCGUCUUGGGAAUACAUUAAGAAGAUUGAAUACAAAUUUUGUGUGUGUUAAGACCAAAAAAAAAAAACAUUAUGUAGAACCAUCAUGUUAAGCAUGGUGGGGGGCUAAAUAAAUAAAUAAAUAUUUCCAUACUCAAAGCACUUUUAAUUCUUUUUUCAUGUACAAAACUUGUUGAACAAUUCGAUUAUUAUAAUUUAGAUAAGGCUAAUUAUCUGACUAAAUCCGGCUGGCAUUUGCUCGUUACUUAUUACAAACGAUUUAACUAGCAUUAGUUUACAAACAAGAACACAAUUCUAAACAGAACUAUAAAAAUAAAUAUCAGAUUUUGCUUAAACAUCCUUACUGUGACUGUAUACUCCUGAGGAAAGCGCAGUUUGAAAAAACCUCCCUCGCGCUGUAUCAACCCGCGCACACGUUUAUCUUAAAAUGUAAAUUAUAUUAUUUCAUAUUAUAUGGACUGAUAUAGUUUAAAAAACAAAAGUCAAAUAAAAGUACAAACAAAAUUUUCAACAUAAGACACGGUACUAUUUUCAGUGGAAGAAUACUAGUUCAGUUUGGGUAGUGAGAUGAACAUCGGCGCUACAUUUUCCUCUUUGACAAUUAGAAGAUGGCAUGAGUUUCAAUUCAAAAUGGCAUCUGUCCUCCAGAUGGCGCUCAAACACAGACAAAUACAGUACCUACAGACGUUUAAAAGCUGAUAGUUUCCUAAAACUCCCUUGUGGGGAGGAAAGACUGGUAAUUACACCGUUUUUUAGUUAUUACGAAUGUUAUACGACUUAAAAUGAGUAAUUUUUCCUGGUUUAAAAGGCUGUAUUCUACUGGAGAAAAUCUAAAUGGAGCAACGGAAUUUUAAAAUGAUUGUCAACUCAACAACUUGUGUUCAUAAUUAUGGUAAAUAACACUUAAAUUACUUUUAAAUAAUGUGAAAUAAAAGUGUGUGUGUGUUGAGCUAUCCUGUUU